rnacentral:misc_RNA from 1 species
CACAAUUAAAAUAUGAAGGCUUCGGCUGGAUUAUUUUAUCACCCUUGUCUUUUGCGCACUUGUUGUUUCCUGGGCGGGUUCGCCCGCCACCAGGACCACACCAUAAACCUUUUUUAUGCAGUUGCAAUCAGCGUCAGUAUAACAAAUGUAAAUCAUUUA